rnacentral:tRNA from 1 species
UCCCUGGUGGUCUAGUGGUUAAUACUAUGCAUUCCCAAUGCAGGGGGCCUGGGUUUGAUCCCUGGUUAGGGAA